UUGAAACUCAAAGUACAUAAAAAACGAAAAAUCUGGGUUUUGACGAAACACCCCGCUCCCUGUUCUGUCGGUGGGUUUCGUUUCAAAAUAAAUCUGUUGAAACAAUCGUUCCCGACAGUCCGCGACAUAGAGAGGAGAGCAGUGGAGAGAAGCCAAAACCGUCUCAGCUCUCGUUCUUCUUCCUCCAACCUUCGUUCCUGACGGUCGGCGACAGAGAGAGGAGAUCAGCGAGGAGAGAAGCCAGAACCCAUAUCUGAACUUCCGAAAAACCCAUCUCAGGCAAGCAUUCUUCUCGUUCUUCUUCUUCCUCCAAACGGAGUUUCUGGAAUUUCCGCGACAGAGAGAGGAGAUCAGCGAGGAGAACCCGCCAUAACCCAUAUCUGAACUUCCGAAAAACCCAUCUCAGGCAAGAAGUGAUCUCGUUCUUCAUCUUCCUCCAACCUCCGUUCCCGACGGUCGGCGACAGAGAGAGGAGAUCAGCGAGGAGAGAAGCCAGAACCCACUUCCCUCCUUCCGAAAAACCCAUCUCAGAGAGAGGAGAGCAGAGAGGAGAGAAGUGCGAACUCAGCUCGUGACCCCUUCCGAACCCAAGAUCUCAGCUAUUAUGUCUGGAAGUAGUAUCCCUGC